CUUUGUUGCAACAUAUCCUAGCCUCAAUUUUUUUUUUUAUUGGCUAAAUGCAGAACCUAUAGAAUCAAGCUCAAACUUUGCUAAAAUCAUCAUCGUGAAUUACAAAGAAGGUUCAAUGUCUCAGAUUAACAGUCAAAGUCUUGGUUAUAAUUACAAAUUGCUUAGUGAUGAAUGAUUAGGUAAAGGAAGUUGUUAGGAAAUUAUUAGAUAAGCAAUUGAAGGAAUGUUUGGCCUUUGUCAAUUAAAGUAGAUAGAUCCAUACAACUUGAUGUUAAAAUACACAAACAAUAGUUUUAUGGCUUCACUCCCCUAUAGGUGAAGAGAGUUCUAAUCAAACCCCCAUAAUGGUCCAUUAUCUUGGUUGUGAACAAUUUAUGAUAAGUUUACCUGUCAAAUGAAUAUGAAUUCCUGAUUAACUCUGCCAGCACUAGCAUAAGCUUCAGUCUUUAAUUCCAAAUACAUCUGUGUCCCUGUGAUUAUUUCCUACUUAGUUAUUAAUCCUCUUGUUGUUUCUCUCCAGAAGCUUCCAAAUCAGUUACCUUUUCAAACCCAAGUUCUGACAUGUCUUGCCUUGCCAUCAAGUUUUUUUCCAUGCGGCAUUCCAGGUAUUUUUUGGAGAAAUGUCUACAGUUUUCAGAUUGAUGGCCAGAAGAUCUGAGGCAAUUAAGGUAAUCUUUCUUCUCCUAAAACAACAAAUAAGGAACUAAGAAAACUCAAAUAUAAGUAGGGAAAUUAAAUAAUGAUGAUAGGCCUAAAUUGAUAAUAUUACUGGAAUAUUAAAACUCAAGUUAUGUCCAUGUUUAUCUUCAACACCACAUUAGCAUGAACACACACCACAUUGGAUUAUGGUUGAAACAAAAUGAAUAAUUUAUGAAAAAGCACAUAAUUGAAAAAGAGAUCAAUAUUCAAGAAUUUUUAGACCAUUAGCCUGCGAUAAUAAGAUCAACAUUUCUCUCUAAUCCAUUAAACAAGCAAGAAAUUGUUUCUACUACAAAAUCAUAAAUUUAUGGGGGCUUUAAAAAAAAAUUACCAAGUCACAUUCAUGCAUGUGGUCCAAAAGGAACACUCCUUUUUCUGGGGGUACAGGUCUUAGUCCUCUAUUUCCACCAAAUGCACCACCUGCCAAAAAUUCCUACCUUUGUAAGAAUACAGACUGAAUCCGUGAAAUACAGCAAGUGAAAAAGGUCUCCAUUUCUCUUUCUUCUCUAGAGGUAACCAAAAUUCGAACAUCAAAAGAGUUGAAAUGUUAGCUUUGAUUUCAAUGGAUCAUUGCCCUGGAGAAUAACAAUGUGUUAUCACAACAUAUAAGGUAGGUUAGGCAUACCCAAGAUAAACAAAUAUUCAAACUUGUUAUCUUACCCCAACAAGUGCAGGAGGGCAGUUUUUCUCAAUUUGGGCUUUCAGUGGAGAGGAAACAAUGUCUCUUUGUACACUUGCCUGUUGCUACUAUAUGAUUUUCCAUACGAAUCCCACCAAGAUAUAAAUAAACACUCAAAAAGAUCUUUGAUCAAGAUUUUUGUUUUUGUUUUAUUGGGAUUGAUCUUUGAUCAAGUAUACCAAUCACAGAACUAACACAAUCUUGAAUUAUCCAUCCAUCUAACAAUUUGGGGAAUAAUUACACAAGGAACACUCUUUCAGAGAUUUCUUGAUAACCCUAGUUCUUAUUUCAACAAGACAGCAAACAGAAAACAUAAAAAGGGGGGAAACAUUUGCCCAAUCAGAUGCACAUAUAAAGUAGAAACACUAGCAGAGCUUCUGUUUCACUAUUAAGAAAAGGGUAAAAAAAUUGCUAACAAAUACCUGGUAAAACAGAAGAUUGAAGUUUGCUUAAAUGAAAUAAGCCAAUUCAUUCAUGAAAAGAUUGAUAAGAAUAAAAUGCGAUUGUACCUGCACUCAUUGGAAUUAUUUUGAUGCUUUUUCUGCUGCGUGUUUAGGUUUUGCAAUCCGGUUGAGUUGGGGAGGGUUACAAUUUUUUU
rnacentral:misc_RNA from 1 species